rnacentral:tRNA from 1 species
GGGAAUGUGGCUUAGUGGUAGAGUGCUUGCCUAGCAUGCAUGCAACCCUGGGUUCAAUUCCUCAGUACCA